CGGGGUGUAGCGCAGUUGGCUAGCGCACCGCGUUUGGGACGCGGGGGUCGGCGGUUCGAGUCCGCCCACCCCGACCU
rnacentral:tRNA from 1 species